AGGCGCCCCUGGAGGUCCCCGGGGACAGGGUCGGGGACGCAUGGGCCGGGUGUGUGCCCCUGUGCCCUGGGUUCUUUCCGCCCCCGAGGGAGGCAGCCUGACAGGGGGCAGGAGGGCCGUGGGCCGGGGAAGAGCAGCCGGAGAGACGCAGCCCAAGUUCAUUAGGAGUUGGGCUUGUGUACCCUGCCCGGCACCCCGCACCCCGCUCGGCUCUGGGUCCUCAAGGGCCCCGACAAGCAGAUUAGAUGAGGAACUGAAAAGGAGAAAGGUGAUUUGCCAAAGGUCACAGAAGCAGAGAUCGAAGCCAGACUCCCCCAAGUGUGUCCCCGCCUCACUGCGUGCUCUUCACAAAGCCACAGGCCUCGGCAAGAUCCUUCAAGUUGGAAUAAGGAGACACGGGCCGGAGGAGCGGAAGAUGUAGAAAUGGACCCUGGAGGGUGAGAAGUUGCUGCCUGAGCCAGAGAGGCGGGAAAGGUCGUAACACUGGAGGGACCCGCGAGUGAAAGCACUAGGGAGAGUCCUCGAGUAGUGACGAAGCAUCCCCUGACUGCAGUCUAAUGAAGAUUUCGCUUCCUGAAAUUCUGCUGUGACUCUUUGUCUGCUCAAGAGCCCCUGUGGCCUUCCUUUGCCUUCGGGAACUCGGAGCUGACCCCGAACUCUCCUAUUUCUCUCUCUUUACUCCAGGUCUUUCCCCAACACAAACACAGCACCUGUGGUGGCCCGGGGGUAGCCCACCGCCCUCCCCCCUCCCCCAGGGGGCCUAUUUGCAGCGUCCAUUUACCCUUCCUGUGGCUUUUAGAGGUGGAACUAAACUGACAAUUUCAAGUUUCCUUGAUUUUUUUUUUUUUUUUUUGCAACAUAUCCAUCACCUCACUAUGGUAAUACUGGUUACCGGUUAGUAGUAGUUCAAUAGUUCAGUCCCUAAAUAUCUGUGAUCCACAAAGAUGGGGAAACAAUGAUUUCCUCAAUAAAUGCCAAGGGUGGGAGACUGUGGAUGAGAACUUCUCAAAACACGCAUUCAGAUUCUGGAAGCAUUCAGAUUCUGGAAGCAUUCAGAUUCUGGAAGCCGUGUUUGG